CGUGAUACUGACCGAUACUUCUUCAUAAGACAAGUCCUCUCGGAGUGAAAGCGGUUCAUGAGCCACGACAUGAGAAGGGUCCGGAUUGUACUUGCGCAGCAUAGAUACAUGAAACACAUUGUGAACCCGGGAGAGCUCAGGGGGCAGUGCAAGUCUGUAGGCAGUGGUACCAAUCUUGUCUAAGAUUUCAAAGGGUCCAAUGUAUCUGGGGUUUAAUUUUCCCCUUCUGCCGAACC
rnacentral:lncRNA from 1 species